rnacentral:pre_miRNA from 1 species
UUUAUACUCCCUCCGUCCGGAAAUACUUGUCUGAUGAAUGGAUGUAUCUAGAUGUAUUUUAGUUCUAGAUACAACCAUUUGUAUCUAUUUCUACGACAAGUAUUUUCGGACGGAGGGAGUAUUCC